AUUGAACGCUGGCGGCAGGCUUAACACAUGCAAGUCGAGCGGAGAUAGGUAGCUUGCUACUGAUCUUAGCGGCGGACGGGUGAGUAAUGCUUAGGAAUCUGCCUAUUAGUGGGGGACAACAUUUCGAAAGGAAUGCUAAUACCGCAUACGUCCUACGGGAGAAAGCAGGGGAUCUUCGGACCUUGCGCUAAUAGAUGAGCCUAAGUCGGAUUAGCUAGUUGGUGGGGUAAAGGCCUACCAAGGCGACGAUCUGUAGCGGGUCUGAGAGGAUGAUCCGCCACACUGGGACGGAGACACGGACCAGACUCCUACGGGAGGCAGCAGUGGGGAAUAGUGGAGAAUGGGCGGAAGCCUGAUCCAGCCAUGCCGCGUGUGUGAAGAAGGCCUUAUGGUUGUAAAGCACUUUAAGCGAGGAGGAGGCUACUUUAGUUAAUACCUAGAGAUAGUGGACGUUACUCGCAGAAUAAGCACCGGCUAACUCCGUGCCAGCCGCCGCGGUAAAAC
rnacentral:rRNA from 1 species